rnacentral:rRNA from 1 species
GAUUAGCGGCGGACGGGUGAGUAACACGUGGGCAACCUGCCCUAUAGAGGGGAAUAGCCUUCCGAAAGGAAGAUUAAUACCCCAUAAGAUUGUAGCUUCACAUGGAGCAGCAAUUAAAGGAGCAAUCCGCUAUAGGAUGGGCCCGCGGCGCAUUAGCUAGUUGGUGAGGUAACGGCUCACCAAGGCGACGAUGCGUAGCCGACCUGAGAGGGUGAUCGGCCACAUUGGGACUGAGACACGGCCCAAACUCCUACGGGAGGCAGCAGUGGGGAAUAUUGCACAAUGGGGGAAACCCUGAUGCAUCAACGCCGCGUGAGUGAUGAAGGCCUUCGAGGUUGUAAAGCUCUGUCUUUGGGGACGAUAAUGACGGUACCCAAGGAGGAAGCCACGGCUAACUACGUGCCAGCAGCCGCGGUAAUACGUAGGUGGCAAGCGUUGUCCGGAUUUACUGGGCGUAAAGGGAGCGUAGGCGGACUUUUAAGUGGGAUGUGAAAUACUCGGGCUCAACCUGAGUGCUGCAUUCCAAACUGGAAGUCUAGAGUGCAGGAGGGGAAAGUGGAAUUCCUAAUGUAGCGGUGAAAUGAGUAGAUAUUAAGAACAACACCGGUGGCGAAGGCGACUUUCUGGACUGUAACUGACGCUGACGCUCGAAAGCGUGGGGAGCGAACAUGAUUAGAUACCCUGGUAGUCCACGCCGUAAACGAUGAAUAC